AUGCUGUUGGCAGCUCUCUUCUUUAUCCUUAUCUUAUUGAUAUUAUCUGAAAAAUCAAAAACCAAGAAUCUACCUCCUGGGCCAAGAAAAUUACCUAUUAUUGGCGACCUGCACCUUUUCUCUACGUCAUAUCCAAUCCACAAUCGCCUAAGGGACUUGUCCAAGAAAUAUGGAGGCGUAAUGUACCUUAAACUCGGUCAAGUUCCCACAAUAGUGAUUGGAACACCAGAAGCUGCAAAAGAAAUGAUGAAAACUAAUGAUGUUUGCUUUGCUGAUAGGCCUAAUCCUCAAUCUUCUGCACUGGUAACUUAUAACUUCUUAGACAUUGCUUAUGCGCCGUAUGGAGACUACUGGAGACAGUUGAGAAAAAUUUGCAUAGUAGAAUUGCUAAGUACGAAGCGUGUGCAAUCAUUCAGAUCAAUUAGAGAAGAGGAGGUCGCCAAUCGGAUUCGUGAUAUAUCUUCUUCGUCAGGGAAGCCAUUCAAUUUGAGCAAGAGAAUAUUUGCUUUAACCUAUGGCAUUACUGCUAGGUUUCCUUUGGUGACAUAUGCAGAGAACAAAAUGAAUUUAUUUCUGCCGCUGAGAAAAUUGUGCAGAACACAGGAUUUGACAUAGCAGAUCUUUUCCCUUCCUUGAAAUUUCUUGGAUGGUUCAGUGAGAUGAGGACUAGACUCAUGAAUGCUCGUGAUGAAGCUGAUAGGGUAAUCGAAAGCAUCAUUAAUGACCACAGAGCAAACAAGAAAACUACUGGUGAAACAGACGAUAUCGUUAAUGUUCUCUUAAAGCUUCAGGAUAAUGGAAAUCUCCAAUUUUCCCUGACAAACACAAGCAUAAAAGCAGUUAUCCUGGACAUUUUCAUUGCUGGAAGUGAGACGUCAUCAACAACUGUAGAAUGGGCAAUGUCAGAAGUGCUAAAAAACCCAAGAAUACUCAGAAAGGCACAAGAGGAGUUGAGGAAAGUAUUUGAUAAGAAAGGAAAAGUUGAUGAAGAAGGGCUUCAAGAAAUUAAUUACUUAAAGUUAAUUAUUAAAGAAACUCUAAGAAUGCAUCCUCCUGGUCCUUUGCUAAUUCCAAGAGAAUGCAGAGAGAGCUGCGAAUUGAAUGGUUACAAAAUACCAGCAAAAGCCAAAGUUAUUGUUAAUUCAUGGGCACUGGCUAGAGAUCCAAAUUACUGGACAGAGCCAGACACAUUUUAUCCGGAGAGAUUUCUUGAUAGUACAGUUGAUUUUAAGGGAAACAAUUACGAAUUCAUUCCGUUUGGUGCUGGAAGAAGGAUAUGUCCUGGCAUAUCAUUUGCCACACCUACCAUUGAGCUUCCACUCGCAAAUUUUCUGUACCAUUUUGAUUGGCAACUUCCAGGUGGAAUGAAGCUAGAAAAUCUGGAUAUGAGCGAUGGUGAUUUUGGCACUACGGUUAGAAGAAGAAGUGAUCUGCUUUUGAUCCCUGUUUCAUAUAAUCCUCCAUCGCUGGAGGGUUGAACUGUUUUCUUAAUCGAUUUCCACUUUCUAUUAGC